CCUACGGGAGGCAGCAGUGGGGAAUCUUGCGCAAUGGGCGGAAGCCUGACGCAGCGACGCCGCGUGCGGGAGGAAGGCCCUCGGGUCGUAAACCGCUUUCAGCUAGGGACGAGGCCGCAAGGUGACGGUACCUGCAGAAGAAGCCCCGGCUAACUACGUGCCAGCAGCCCGCGGUAAUAC
rnacentral:rRNA from 1 species